AAAUUGAAGAGUUUGAUCAUGGCUCAGAUUGAACGCUGGCGGCAGGCCUAACACAUGCAAGUCGAGCGGUAGCACAGAGAGCUUGCUCUCGGGUGACGAGCGGCGGACGGGUGAGUAAUGUCUGGGAAACUGCCUGAUGGAGGGGGAUAACUACUGGAAACGGUAGCUAAUACCGCAUAACGUCGCAAGACCAAAGUGGGGGACCUUCGGGCCUCAUGCCAUCAGAUGUGCCCAGAUGGGAUUAGCUAGUAGGUGGGGUAACGGCUCACCUAGGCGACGAUCCCUAGCUGGUCUGAGAGGAUGACCAGCCACACUGGAACUGAGACACGGUCCAGACUCCUACGGGAGGCAGCAGUGGGGAAUAUUGCACAAUGGGCGCAAGCCUGAUGCAGCCAUGCCGCGUGUGUGAAGAAGGCCUUCGGGUUGUAAAGCACUUUCAGCGGGGAGGAAGGCAGUGAGGUUAAUAACCUCAUCGAUUGACGUUACCCGCAGAAGAAGCACCGGC
rnacentral:rRNA from 1 species